rnacentral:rRNA from 1 species
UACGGGGGGGGCAAGCGUUGUUCGGAAUUACUGGGCGUAAAGGGCUCGUAGGUGGCCAACUAAGUCAGACGUGAAAUCCCUCGGCUUAACCGGGGAACUGCGUCUGAUACUGGAUGGCUUGAGAUUGGGAGAGGGACGCGGAAUUCCAGGUGUAGCGGUGAAAUGCGUAGAUAUCUGGAGGAACACCGGUGGCGAAGGCGGGUCUCUGGGCAGUAACUGACGCUGAGGAGCGAAAGCGUGGGUAGCGAACAGG